rnacentral:rRNA from 1 species
CCCUUAGAUGUCCUGGGCCGCACGCGCGCUACACUGAGUGUCUGAGAUACGAGUCUGCCUGGUCCGGCAAGGUCUAGGUAAUCGCUAAAAGACACAUCAUGCUUGGGAUAGAUUAUUGCAAAUAUUAAUCUUGAACGAGGAAUUCCUAGUAAGCGCAAGUCAACAGCUUGCGUUGAUUACGUCCCUGCCCUUUGUACACACCGCCCGUCGCUACUACUGAUUGGAUGUUUAAGCGUGGUUCUCGAACUGCUAGCGACUUAGCUUCGGUGAGGUCGCAGUGUGGGAAGUGAACCUAGCUUUGGUGUCUAGAGGAAGUAAAAGUCGUAACA